CUUUAUGUAAAGGAUCUGCUUCACUACGCUCAUGUGCACAGUCGUGUGCGUGCAUGUGCACGUGUCUUUUAUUUUUGUCUGCAGUAACAUUUCAUCUCACCAUGACCUGUGAGAGUACAUUACUUCCUAUGUCAUCCAUGUUUUGUUUUUUUCAUUUUGCAGUUUGAAAUCUGUGAGCUGUCAUAACCUCAUCAAACAGAGAAAGUGCAGAUUAGAAAGAGUCCUGACUUGUUGCAGGUCGUCAGGAUUUCCUGAAGGUGACCGCUCUCCAUCUUGAGCCACUGAAGCUGGUUUGUGGUUCUAAAAAUCUUGUCUGCUGUUUAGUUCAUUCAGCUGAUGUCGAACACUUAGACAUAAAAAAAAA